rnacentral:lncRNA from 1 species
UUCAUGAUAGGCAUAGAGAGAGAGAGACAGAGAGAGGCAGAGACACAGGAGGAGGGAGAAGCAGGCUCCAUGCAGGGAGCCUGACGCGGACUCGAUCCCGGGUCUCCAGGAUCAUGCCCUGGGCCAAAAGCAGGCGCUAAACCACUGAGCCACCCAGGGAUCCCCACAAGGUAGGAUCUUAUUGAAGUUUUAGUUUUCAUCUCCUUGAUUAUUAUUAAUGUUGAGCAUCUUGGGCAGCCCUGGUGGUGCAGCGGUUUAGUGUCGCCUACAGGCUGGGGUGUGAUCCUGGAGACCCGGGAUGGAGUCCCACAUCGGGCUCCCUGCAUGGGGCCUGCUUCUCCCUCUGCCUGUGUCUCUGCCUCUCUUUCUCGCUCUGUGUCUCUCAUGAAUAAAUAAAAAAUAAAAUCUUUAAAAAAAAAUGUUGAGCAUCUUCUCAUGUGCCUAUUCGAGAUCAUAUAUCAUCUUGGGAGAAAUGUCUAUUCAAGUUCUUUGACUUUUUUAUAACCAGAUUGUUGUUGAGUUCCAUAUAUUCUGAAUAUUAACCCCUUAUCAGAUAUAUGAUUUGCAAAUACUUUCUCCCACUCUUGAGUUUUUUAUUUGGGCGCCUGAGAAUGUGCAUUUCUAACAAGUUCCUCAGUUACAUUGUUGGCCCCGAGGGCCCACUUUGAGAAACUGCUCAAUAUGGUCAUAUUGGGAAGCAGUUUACACAUAUUAUCUCAGCGAAGUCUCACAUUAGCUUUCUUGUUUUACAGAAGAGGAAAUGAUUGCUCAAAGAGGUAAAACUUGCUCAAGGUUCUUCCACAAAGAAAUGGUAAAGCAGGGGCUUUCACUUCACUCUGACCUGGCACUGUGCUACCCCACCUCUGCCAGAAGUAAGUAAAAAAUGUCCACGAAGGAUACGCUCUAAUGAACAAGUCAAUGGACUGGAGAGAAUAGUGGAUGUUUUCUGUCUCAUUUUCUUUAAAUCAGGCCUAAAAUUUCUGGACUCCUUUCCUUGGAUGUUAUGUUCUGGCUUCAUUAUGACGGAUUGAGAAAAGCAAAGGAAUCUGCUUUAAGUCUGGGGAAAAUGGUGGUGGGGGAGGUGUGGAGGGGACACAUUGCCAAGAACCGUAGACCAGACUGACCUGAUGAAUGAACUCGCUCAAGAACUAAAUGUUUAGCUUUGGUAGACUGGCAAAUGUUGUGCUUCCCCUCAAAGCUGUCUGUGUUUAGACAUCUCCCUGAUAGCAAUAUCCAGUCAGGACCCCAGCUAGUCAGCCUAUAGGGGCCUUUCUUGUGUGGACAGUGAAAAGGCACUUUUCAGGACCCAUGCAGCUAGUCCCAUGGUGCCUGGCCAGGCCAGUGAGGGGGGGUGCAUUUCAGCACCCGUGUGCUCCAGUGAAUAGCUAGUAAGGUGUGAUAAGGUAGAGUCAUUGCCAUUGUCAGUAUACUUUAACAACCCUGAUAAAGGUUACUGUCACUAUUGGUUAAAGGAUAUAUAUGACCAUACAUACACAUACAUAUAUGUAAAUCUACAGGAAGUAUAUAUGGCCUCCUGAUGACUCAUUUCCAUGGAUAACCAAAGGCUGAUGGUAACCUCAUAUCCAUGGUUUUAACUACAGGCCGUAAAAACAUUCAUAGUUUAGUGAAUUCAUCAAUUUUGGUGUCUACCAACACAUCAGAUUAGUGACUUCUGAAGUAAGGCUGGCCCUUUAAGGCUAUCCUUUAUUAGGCAUGAGAAAAAAAUUCAUAGACACCAAGCCCAACAGUAUUCUUGCAGAACCUGGUGCUUUGUGUUCAACUCCACAGCUGCAGAGCCAAAGCGUACUGGUUCACAGCACUUAUAAAUAGAAAAUGUGGAGGUCCCUAGAUGAAGACAUGGGCUUUAUUCUUCUUCAGAUGUUGACAUUCCCCAGAGCCACCACAACAAAAACAGAAUUAAGACGUAAAAGGAAUUCAGAACCUUCCUUUGCAAUCCCAAGCCUGGGAAUCUUUUCAAAUUUAAAUGAAUAUCUGUCAAACUAAUUAAGAGAAGAUGCAAUGCUCUCAUUCUGUGCUCAUUAGAGAACUUUACUGGUCAUAAAUUCCUCAGAGAGUGGGAGUGAAUAGGUCUCUGCACUCUUGCUUAAGAUUCCUGGCUUUGUUUAUUUCCAGUUUGGCCUGUUCAUCUUCUAGAUCCAGAAAGACUGCAAAACAUGCCUUGAAUUCAGUUUUAAUUCAUAUAAUUUUAUAAAACAGGAAAAUCAGAAAUGGAGAAAACUAUAAUGAGAUGUUGCAAUGAAUGUUUUAGAGCCAACAGAACUGGGGUAGGUGACAAGCGAUCAUUUAUAACUGAGUAGCAUCUUCUUUUUCCCAAGAUGUUUUAUUAGUAGGUCGCAACUCUCAGAUGUUUCACAGACAUUGACACAGACACAGACACACAGACCCACACACACUUGAACGUUUUCCCAUCAUGCUUGCAGAUUUUGAGAUUGAUGCUCAGUAAGCUGACUGGGUAAAAUAUAUGCAAAUUGUGUCAGUCUGGGUGCAGCUUGACAACCAAGACCACUACCCACAUGUCCCUACAGCAUUUAUUGGAUUCCUGCCAGCUAUCCAGUACAAUACCAUGUAUGUAGUGUAAUGUAUGUGUAUGAAAUCAAUAACCGAGGUACCUCUGCAGCCAGAGCUUUUUACCCCCAUCUUACAGUUAAGAACACUGAGAUUCAGAGCAGUGAUCUUGCAUUAAAACUGGUGAGCAGCAGAGUCAGUAGUGAGCAGGAUAUUUAAAAAUACUUCUUUGUUUGAAAUAUAAUGUAUUGUGCCAGGGCGCCUGGGUGGCUCAGUCAGUUAAGCGUCUGCCUUUGGCUCAAGUCAUGAUCCCAGGGUCCUGGGGCCAAGUCCCACAUCAGGCUCCCUGCUCAGCAGUGAGUCUGCUUCUCUCUCUUCUCUGUCUACGACCUGUCUCACGCUAGCUCUUACAAAUAAAUAAAUACAAUCUUUAAAAAUAUGUUUAUAUAUUGUAUUGUGCCAAAUUUUUGGAAAUUUGCAAUAAUAAAGAAUGCAUCUGACAUUUUGUUAUUAGAGAGAAAUUUAACCAUAGCUAUUAGAAUUUCUACCAAAUAUCUUUGAAGAGACAUUCUAGAAAACAAGGAUUUUUUUCCAUCUGCUUAAAGCCUCUAUCUUUGCUUAUUUUUUUCUUUAAUCUGGGAUUUAUGCCCCUGAAAAUAUAUUUUUCCCUUUUCAUCAAUUCUACUAGGUUUUCCCUAUUGGUGUCACUUAGCUGAAGUGCACAGUGUCUUCAAUCACUUGGACAGUUCUUAUUAUUUCUACCUUUUGCUUUUUCUAUCUUAAAUAAGAUUCUUAUAAUUUUUGCUUACCCAUGUUAGAGGGAUGGGUUACGCCUGUUUGCUCUCUGAAGGCAUACCAACAGUUUAAAGGGACACAGAUCCCUGUAUCUUAGCUAAAGGGAUACAGAAUUUAAGGCUAUGAUACAAAUCAAAUUCAAAUGCAAUUUAUUUUUUCCAAUUUUUCUUAGGAUUUCUGUAAUGAAAACUAUCCUCUCCCACUAACGUGCAAUUAAAUGGUGCUUAGAAAUUUCUUCUGGGCUGGAUGUCACUGACACAUCAUUGUCUUCUGGGUAAAUUUCUGCUCCUGAUUUCUCUUGUUUCUCAUUUAAGUUGCCAUCAGAGACAUCAUUUCUGCCGCUGUGUCCACACUAUUAAAGUCAGGAUGAGGGACUCCUGGGUGGCUCAGUGGUUGAGCGUCUGCCUUUGGCUCAGGGUGUGAUCCCGGGGUGCUGGGAUGGAGUCCCACAUUGGGCUCCCCGCAUGGAGCCUGCUUCUCCCUCUGCCUAUA